AGCGAACGCUGGCGGCAUGCCUAACACAUGCAAGUCGAACGAGACCUUCGGGUCUAGUGGCGCACGGGUGCGUAACGCGUGGGAACCUGCCCUUAGGUUCGGAAUAGCUCCCCGAAAGGGGUGCUAAUACCGGAUAAUGUCUUCGGACCAAAGAUUUAUCGCCUUUGGAUGGGCCCGCGUUGGAUUAGCUAGUUGGUAGGGUAAAAGCCUACCAAGGCGACGAUCCAUAGCUGGUCUGAGAGGAUGAUCAGCCACACUGGGACUGAGACACGGCCCAGACUCCUACGGGAGGCAGCAGUGGGGAAUAUUGGACAAUGGGCGAAAGCCUGAUCCAGCAAUGCCGCGUGAGUGAUGAAGGCCUUAGGGUUGUAAAGCUCUUUUACCCGGGAUGAUAAUGACAGUACCGGGAGAAUAAGCUCCGGCUAACUCCGUG
rnacentral:rRNA from 1 species